CAGAACGAACGCUGGCGGCAAGCUUAACACAUGCAAGUCGAACGGAUUUUUGUCGUAGCUUGCUAUGAUAAAAAUUAGUGGCAGACGGGUGAGUAAUGC
rnacentral:rRNA from 1 species